rnacentral:lncRNA from 1 species
CUUAACAUAGUGCCAGGGGUGUAGAAUGGGCCUCACUGGUCUUCCAUACCGUAUCAUCAUCAUACCAUAACAUACGAGGACUAAAGGAUCAUUCAACAUCCAUCCACAUCAUCAUCAAGUUAUGCAAUGCAACAUAUUCGUGAAUUCUAAUGCAAACAACCUAGUAUAUCUCAUGGCAUACGUGAUGCAUGUAUCAUGCUCAAAAU